CUGGCCACCGGUGCGCAUGCGCGGUGUAUCCCGCUGUCUGUGCCCGACGGGAGUACUUAGCCAUGCGUGCGCACUGGCCCGUUACAUCCCCUACCUCACACCCCCUCUUGUGGCUGCAGGCACAGUGUGUCCUGGUGGACAGCUGAUUGCUUUCGUGCAUGCGCAAUUGGUGGCCUCUUCUCCCCGUACUGUGGCUGAAAAUUUCCCCUACUUGAUCUUCUGCGCCUGCGCGGCGCUGCACUCCUGCUCCAGCUGGGAAACACCACUUCCGGUGCGGCCGCGUCACAGGAAUUGACGCGGGUAUAGAAUUCUGACAAGGUAAAGUAAAAGGUAGCGGCUAGUUCCUAUCCAGUAGAAGGGCGCUGGUGACAUCACCUUGGUGUAAGUGGGUCUCUCUCUCCCAUCCCCUCGGUGUGAGUGUGUGUUGUGCUCUCUCUCCCAUCCCCUCGGUGUGAGUGUGUGUCGUGCUCUCUCUCCCAUCCCCUCGGUGUGAGUGGGUCUCUCUCUCUCCCAUCCCCUCGAUGUGAGUGGGUCUCUCUCUCUCCCAUCCCCUCGAUGUGAGUGGGUCUCUCUCUCUCCCAUCCCCUCGGUGUGAGUGGGUCUCUCUCUCUCCCAUCCCCUCGGUGUGAGUGUGUC